UACGUAGGUGGCAAGCGUUGUCCGGAAUUACUGGGUGUAAAGGGAGCGCAGGCGGGAAGCCAAGUCAGCUGUGAAAACUACGGGCUUAACUUGUAGACUGCAGUUGAAACUGGUUUUCUUGAGUGAAGUAGAGGUUGGCGGAAUUCCGAGUGUGGCGGUGAAAUGCGUAGAUAUUCGGAGGAACACCGGUGGCGAAGGCGGCCAACUGGGCUUUAACUGACGCUGAGGCUCGAAAGUGUGGGGAGCAAACAGG
rnacentral:rRNA from 1 species